AAUCAACGCUGGCGGCGUGCCUAACACAUGCAAGUCGAACGCGAAAGGGGCUUCGGCCCUGAGUAGAGUGGCGAACGGGUGAGUAACACGUGGGUGAUCUACCUCUGAGUGGGGGAUAACGUUCCGAAAGGAACGCUAAUACCGCAUGACGUUCCGGGUUUGGAGACCUGGAAACCAAAGCCGGGGACCGCAAGGCCUGGUGCUUGGAGAGGAGCCCGCGCCUGAUUAGCUAGUUGGUGAGGUAANGGCUCACCAAGGCAACGAUCAGUAGCCGGCCUGAGAGGGCGGACGGCCACACUGGGACUGAGACACGGCCCAGACUCCUACGGGAGCAGCAGUGGGGAAUUGUUCGCAAUGGGCGCAAGCCUGACGACGCAACGCCGCGUGGAGGAUGAAGGUC
rnacentral:rRNA from 1 species